UACGGAGGGGGCUAGCGUUGUUCGGAAUUACUGGGCGUAAAGCGUGCGCAGGCGGUGAUGUAAGACAGAUGUGAAAUCCCCGGGCUCAACCUGGGAACUGCAUUUGUGACUGCAUCGCUGGAGUACGGCAGAGGGGGAUGGAAUUCCGCGUGUAGCAGUGAAAUGCGUAGAUAUGCGGAGGAACACCGAUGGCGAAGGCAAUCCCCUGGGCCUGUACUGACGCUCAUGCACGAAAGCGUGGGGAGCAAACAGG
rnacentral:rRNA from 1 species